UGCCAGAACUGAGAGUUUUUGCAUCAGUUAUUGCUGCUUUAGUGAAAUAAGGUUAACAAACACAGAGGUGAGCAGGUGGUCAGAGAUAAACAGGUGAGGAACACAUUUCUGUAAUAAAGAAAAUUCUUGGGAAGGAAACCAUACCCUCCCCCUCCCCCCCAAAAUUUCUACUUCAUUAAGGUGAUUUCGAACUCACUGGGAAACCAAGGACUCGGUUGCUGAUCAGCGCAAACAAAAAUAAUCCAGGUGGCAAGUCUGAUGAGAUAUGACCUUGUUCAAAAUCAAUAGACUGUUCCCCUUCCACUGAGCACAACCGACUCUCGAAUGAGUUUACUUCAACAGAGGCAUUUCCCUCACAACAUUAACAUUUUAAUUGCGUGUGCAGGAUUUUCUGGAAAAUUAACCCAGUGCUGGUUGAGCACCGGGUGAGGAUGCUGGGCACAGGGCUGGGAGUGCAGGCAGUGCUGCGGGGAGCUGCAAACACAUACCGCCACCUAAAGGAAAGAAACCUGCAGGAAACCACGGAAAGCUGCUCCCUUGGACUCUGUCAGAGCUGAUUAAAACAAAGAGGCUUAAUUUGCUCUUUGCAGCCUGCCUCCCUGAUGCCUUCCGAAGGGCUCUCUCUCUGGCAAAGCAGGACAAGUCCAUCAGCAUCAUGUAGUCUCUGCCACAGGACCAGUAAUGUGAUGGUUGCACACUUGACAGUGGACUCGGGGUAACUUCUCAAGUUGUUGCAACUUCUUUGUGUGUCUACGCAGUCUUGUAGCAGGGCCACAAAUUAGGUGAAGCCAGGUCAUGUGCUGAUGCUUGGGGACGGCUCUGCCGGGAAGCAAAACCCCACCUGGGCUGCAACACCAGGAUGUGGCAUUGCUCCCACUCCUGCUGCCAGACUCUGCAGGGCAGGGCCAGCUGGGAACAGGAAAAAAGCUCAGGCCCAUACGUCAGUAAUGGCUGGAUGGGGAGAAUGGGUGGCAGGUGCCAAUUUUGUAAGCCAAUGAACAUCUGUGUUUAGGAACUGCUUUCAAGCCCAUGCAGCAUCUGCAUUUCCAGUGAAAGCCACAAGCAUCUUGCUCUCUUCCAUGUCUAUAACAUUGCUUAAUGGGUUGGAGGUAAAUGUAAGAGGGAAGGAAUGAAAAGACGGAUUCUCAAAUGGGUUAAGGUACAGUAAAGCACUGUUUGAAAACCUGAAUAUAGCUUCUCAUUAAUUAACACUACAACUGUAUGGACAUGGUCAUAAUAAGUGCUGGAAGGAGCACUGUCUUGUAGGGAAAACAGUUCAUGAUUCUUCAAAUAGCUUUCUGUGUAGUCUUAAACAAAAAGCCAUUUACUCCUCUGUGCCUUAAUUUUUACAUCUGAUUAGAGAUAUUAUGAUUAAAGCUGAUGAAACAUUUUCAAAUUGGUAACUGGAGAGGUUGGUUUUGGGUAAAAGGACUAAUGGAAUAUUUCACAUCUGUUCCUCUGAUGGGAUCAAGCCAAGUUGUCUAUUUCUAAAGGAUAGCCUUUUCUAUUUGAAAUGUAUAUAUUUUAAUUUCAUGUUACACUCAUAUAUAAAUUAACUUACCAUAUUAUUCUAUUGAAUUGCUGAAUAUCACAUGUAUACCCUGUAUGUAUUAAAGCAUUUUAAUAUCAUGCCUUAAUGUUUUUUACAUUAAAUCAGUGAACUAGUUUUUUCUUUGUUAAUUAAAUAUUUCAGCUUUGUCAGAACUAAAUGCUUUUGCAAAGUUAUUGGAAAGUUCUUUUCCGCCCUUUAUCUUCUGAUUUUGAAACACCUUUGAAGGUAUUGGAUCCCCUUUUUCUGGUGUUCCUGCUGCUUUCAAUGUGACUAGAGCCAAGGAUCAGGUACUCUUGGUAUGUUUUGGGGGCUGUGGCAAAGUACUGCCAAUGAAUGUCCAUUAGGCAGAGUCAGUGCUUCCUUGGCACCAUCUGCAACAGUAGUAGCUUGGGAUUGUCCCUUUACAUGCCAGCCACCAUCCAGCUUUUCUGUCAUUGCUUCUCUGUAUUAGGUCUGACUGAGCAGAAGUUAAUAUUCUCUGUAGCAGCCCUCACAGUACCGCUCUUCCUACCGGUAGCUAAAAAGGUGUUGAUAACACACCAGUGUUUUGGCUACUGCUGAGCAGUGCUCACACAGCACCAGGGCUACCUCUUCAAUAUUCUACCCUCAUCAGUAGGCUGGGAGUGGACAAGAUCUUGAGAUGGGAUACAGCCAGGCCAGAUGACCCAAACUGGCCAAAGAGAUAUUCCAGAUAUAAAAACUAAGAAGAAGGGGUAGAGUACCUGAGGUUCUUGUUCAUCCUUAUGAACACUUUAAUACCACUAAUUAUCAAUGUAGCAUAGUAUGUGGUUUGUGGAAUCUGGUGUCAUCCUGGUAUAAGAGAAGACAAUUUUUGGGUCAGGUGAUACUGAAAUGUGUCCUGAGGCAAGAGAUCUCUGGGCGGCAGGGCACGUGAAAGGAUUUGGACAGGUUUCUAGGAUGGUUGUCACCUCCCAUAGCCUGGGACUUUACACCUGAACAGGCAAGCAAUCCUGAUAAAUUGACAUGCCACCUGACAGAAGAGUGCCUUCCUCACCCCAAUGAAAACCAGUUUCCAUCACUGUACUGGUGCCUGAUCUGUGCCCAUUGAGCCACAGUUCAGUACUCUCAGAGGACUGUGGUUGAGACAGAGAUCCAAACAACAACUACAGUCACUGUCCCUGUAGUGGAAAAGAAACAGUUGACA